CGUGCACUAAGGCGCGCGAGAGAGACCUCUCUAAGGAACUCGGCACAUUAGCCCCGUAACUUCGGGAGAAGGGGUACUCACUUCGGUGAGUCUCAGUAAAUUGCGUUUAGCGACUGUUUAACAAAAACACAGCACUCUGCAAAGUCGUGAAGACGACGUAUAGGGUGUGACACGUGACCAAUGCUGAAAGAUCAAGGUGACUUGUUAGCCGUAAGGCGAAGCUCGGAGCCUAAGUCCCAGUGAAUGUCGGCCGUAACUAUAACGGUCCUAAGGUAGCGAAAUUCCUUGUCGGGUAAGUUCCGACCUGCACGAAUCGUGUAACGACUGAACGACUGUCUCGGAGAGGAUCUCGGCGAAACUGUAACGGCGGUGAAGAUGCCGCCUGCCCGCAGUAGGACGGAAAGACCCUAUGCACCUUUACUGUAAGCUCGUAUUGGGUUCUGAUUAAUGAUGCUUAGCGUAGGUGGGAGACUUUGAAGGGCUGGCUUCGGUCAGCCUGGAGUCGAAAUGUGAAACACCACUCUUUGUUAAUUAGGAUUCUAACCUCAUGCUGUUAGCCAGCUGAGGGACAGUGCGUGCGGGUCAGUUUGACUGGGGCGGUUUCCUCCCAAAUGGUAACGGAGGAGCGCGAAGGUACUCUCAGCACGGUUGGCAACCGUGCGUCGAGCGAAUGGGUAUAAGAGUGCUUAACUGUGAGACCAACAAGUCGAGCAGGUACGAAAGUAGGCCCAAUUGAUCCGACGGUUUAAUGUGGAAUUGCCGUCGCUCAUCGGACAAAAGGUACGCUAGGGAUAACAGGCUGAUCGAGUCCAAGAGUUCACAUCGACGACUCGGUUUGGCACCUCGAUGUCGGCUCAUCGCAUCCUGGGGCUGGAGAAGGUCCCAAGGGUCCGGCUGUUCGCCGGUUAAAGCGGUACGCGAGCUGGGUUCAGGACGUCGUGAGACAGUUCGGUCCUUAUCCACUGUGGGCGCAGGAAACUUGAGGGGUUCACUCCUUAGUACGAGAGGACCGGGAAUGACGCACUUCUGGUGUGGCAAUUGUUCCGUCAGGGGCAUCGUUGCGUAGCCAUGUGCGGAAGAGAUAAGCGCUGAAAGCAUCUAAGUGCCAAGCUCAUCCCAAGAUAUUGUUUCCCGGAGCGCAAGCUCCCUAAAGACCCCAUGUAGACUACGUGGUUGAUAGGUUAGGCGUGCAAGCGUCGUGAGACGUUUAGCGGACUAAUACUAAUCGGUCGUGCGGCUUGAUCGC
rnacentral:rRNA from 1 species